rnacentral:rRNA from 1 species
UACGGGGGGAGCAAGCGUUGUUCGGAUUUACUGGGCGUAAAGGGCGCGUAGGCGGCGUGACAAGUCACUUGUGAAAUCUCCGGGCUUAACUCGGAACGGUCAAGUGAUACUGUCGUGCUAGAGUACAGAAGGGGCAACUGGAAUUCUCGGUGUAGCGGUGAAAUGCGUAGAUAUCGAGAGGAACACCUGCGGCGAAGGCGGGUUGCUGGACCUGCACUGACACUGAGGGACGAAAGCUAGGGGAGCGAAAGGG